UACGAAGGGGGCUAGCGUUGUUCGGAAUUACUGGGCGUAAAGCGCACGUAGGCGGAUACUUAAGUCAGGGGUGAAAUCCCGGGGCUCAACCCCGGAACUGCCUUUGAUACUGGGUAUCUCGAGUCCGGAAGAGGUGAGUGGAAUUCCGAGUGUAGAGGUGAAAUUCGUAGAUAUUCGGAGGAACACCAGUGGCGAAGGCGGCUCACUGGUCCGGUACUGACGCUGAGGUGCGAAAGCGUGGGGAGCAAGCAGG
rnacentral:rRNA from 1 species